AUUGAACGCUGGCGGCAGGCCUAACACAUGCAAGUCGAGCGGAGCGGCGGACGGGUGGGUAAUGCCUAGUAAUCUACCUGUUAGUGGGGGGUAAAGUCCGGCAACAGGCGCUAAUACAGCAUACUAUCAGAUGAGCCUAGCUAGGAUUAGCUAGCUGGUGGGGUAAAGACCUACCAAGGCGACGAUCCGUAACUGGUCUGAGAGGAUGCACGGUCACACUGGAACUGAGCCACGGUCCAGACACCAAAGGGAGGCAGCAGUGGGGAAUAUUGGACAAUGGGGGAAAGCCUGAGCCAGCCAUGCCGCGGGUGGGAAGAAGGUUUUCGGUUUGUAAAGCACUUUAAGUUGGGAGGCGUUACCAACAGAAGAAGCACCGGCUAACUUCGUGCCAGCAGCCGCGGUAAUAC
rnacentral:rRNA from 1 species